rnacentral:tRNA from 1 species
GAGGAUAUAGCUCAGUGGUAAGAGUGCAUGCUUAGCAUGCACAAGGUCCUGGGUUCAAUCCCUGGUACUUGCA